ACCCAGAUUGCUGCCUUCGUCUUACUCAUCUCAACAGUCGUCGUCAGACUGAAACCCUCAAUCGCCAUGAGUCUUUCAUGUGGAAACUCGUCGUUCAGAUUUUAUCAGUCGCUGGUUUUAACCGACACAUCUAUAUUCGUACCCGUGAAUGCAUGCAGAAUACGUAUAUUCAAGAACACCUUUUCUAUUCUUGUUAACCUGUUGAAGCUAAUGGAAAAAAAUAGUUGUCAAGUUAUGACAUUUAUAAGUAAGUAGUCUUUUGAGUUACUUGUUCUUCUCAUAGAUGAUUCAUGCAAAGUUACUACGGAAGUGGCAGUUAUGUUCCCGACUUACUUUCGGAUCCGAAGGGGCCUUUUAUCUGCCGUUCACCCACCUCUCAUUUCCAGUGUUAAUAACUCCUGACUGAAUGAAAAAAACUCAGAUGGAAUGCCAGGUUAGAAGUUGUAAGAUCAUUGAGUAAAAAUCAGCAAAGGCCAUAAGCGACGCCAUCGCUCACGUCCUUCUGGAAGUGCAACGCUCUACUUCUGAUGAUCACCAGAGAUACUCUCAACUGUCUCUUCAUUUAGGAUUUUCCUCGAAACACCUCUUCAAUCAAGAUAAAAGACAAUGCCGUAGGCAGCGUGUGAUCCAAGGCCGCUUGGAAAUGCCCUGAUUCGUCCUCAGUCUAUGCCAGCUUCUGUUAUUGGGCAGAUGUGCUCACCUCUGACUUGAAGUCACCCCCUUUGUUUCGUCGUCGUGGGUUGGAGGCCUCUUCAGACAUCACGAUACGUGUGCAAGCCACAAAGAACUACAGAUUGCUGAGUCCAUGCAGUAGAUGUUGAUUUUGGCCAGUUUUUCCACUUUGUGAAAGAUAAGAGUUCCAGACAGUACACAGCCUCCCCCACAUGGCAUACCUGCCUUGCCUUUGUAUCAGGCCAUU